AUACAUGCAGUCGUACGCUAGCCGCUGAAUUGAUCCUUCGGGUGAAGUGAGGCAAUGACUAGAGUGGCGAACUGGUGAGUAACACGUAAGAAACCUGCCCUUUAGUGGGGGAUAACAUUUGGAAACAGAUGCUAAUACCGCGUAACAACAAAUCACACAUGUGAUCUGUUUGAAAGGUCCUUUUGGAUCGCUAGAGGAUGGUCUUGCGGCGUAUUAGCUUGUUGGUAGGGUAGAAGCCUACCAAGGCAAUGAUGCGUAGCCGAGUUGAGAGACUGGCCGGCCACAUUGGGACUGAGACACUGCCCAAACUCCUACGGGAGGCUGCAGUAGGGAAUUUUCCGCAAUGCACGAAAGUGUGACGGAGCGACGCCGCGUGUGUGAUGAAGGCUUUCGGGUCGUAAAGCACUGUUGUAAGGGAAGAAUAACUGAAUUCAGAGAAAGUUUUCAGCUUGACGGUACCUUACCAGAAAGGGAUGGCUAAAUACGUGCCAGCAGCCGCGGUAAUACGUAUGUCCCGAGCGUUAUCCGGAUUUAUUGGGCGUAAAGCGAGCGCAGACGGUUUAUUAAGUCUGAUGUGAAAUCCCGAGGCCCAACCUCGGAACUGCAUUGGAAACUGAUUUACUUGAGUGCGAUAGAGGCAAGUGGAACUCCAUGUGUA
rnacentral:rRNA from 1 species